UGCCAGCCGCCGCGGUAAUACGGAGGGUGCGAGCAUUAAUCGGAUUUAUUGGGCGUAAAGAGGGCGUAGGCGGUAAUGAAAGUCAGAUGUGAAAUCCCGGAGCUUAACUCCGGAACUGCAUCUGAAACUUCAUUUCUAGAGGAUAGGCGGAGAAAACGGAAUUCCACGUGUAGCGGUGAAAUGCGUAGAUAUGUGGAAGAACACCAGUGGCGAAGGCGGUUUUCUAGCUUAUUCCUGACGCUCAGGCCCGAAAGCGAGGGGAGCAAACAGGAUUAGAUA
rnacentral:rRNA from 1 species